CGCUUAUCGCCACCUCAUGCGUUGUUUGUCGUCUGUCUUUCACUUGGUCACAGAGUACAGACAGACACAGACGCUUACCGUGUUUCAGAACUGGAGAUGUUUGUCGACGAAAGAAGAACAGGAAGUCCGAGAACCUGUCAUCCCUCGUCUCCUGGUCCUUCGCUGUUUCCUCGUCACCCGGAAGGAAUGACGCGGUUUCCGGCGAAUCUGGGCGUUCCACCGGUGGGUCCUUCGCAGCAUUGCCGAAGCCAAAGCGGUUCCGCAACCUCUUAAUCAUCUUGUAGAAGAAGUAAACGAUGAACAGAGGCGGGCCGGUCACGAAGAAUGUAGCGAAGAUCGGUAUCGACGCCAGGUCGCUGAAAACAGAGAGAAAAUGAAUUAAGAUGCCCGAUUUAGAUAACGUUUAAGAUUUUGAAAGAGUGAUUCACAUAAUUGCGGCUAUACCAGGAAGUCUUGCACCCCAGGAAUCGUUGGUAACUAUUUUUUACCUUACUUCUCCGAGGUAAGCAACAUUGCUCUUUUAGUAUACUCCAACCAAAUUCUUAAAAGCCAAUCCCCCGCCCGCCCCCCGCCCCUGAAGUGGGGAGGAUGUCCUCUUGACGGUCUUCCGUACGUCAAGAGUGGCUUUUGUGUGUGUGUGUGUGUGUGUGUUUUUAAAGACUGUUUUAAUUUUUUAAGAACUUUUUUUUCUUAUACAAAGUUGUUCUGGUAAAUAGCACUAUACGCGUGCCUUUGAAAACCAAAAAAUGUAGAUAUUAGAUAAAGCAUAACUAAUGGAUUUUGAUUUUAUUCUUAAUUGAAUUAGUUGGUAUUUUAUGGUAGUAAAAUAAAUAAUUUUGUUAAAAUUUAGUGAUAAAUUUUUGAGAUUUCUUUUUAAGAGUUGGUAUUACAUCAGUAAAAUAACUAAAACGUUAUUAGAAAUUUAAAGUGAUAAAUUAUUAAAAUUUAACUCAAGUUAUUUGAUAAUAAAAAAAAAACCUGUUCGAAAGCUGCAAAUGUUCAUAUCUUUAAAAUUUGUGUGAAUCCAUAGUAACUAUUUCCAAGCUGAGACUUUGUUUUUUUUUUAAGUCUUGUUUUCCUUGCCCCUACAGAACCAACGUUAGUUUGAGAUUCGCUUUUUCAAAUUUUUUUCAUACAUGCUUUCACUUUCCCUGUGAGUAGUCAAGUUUCCCUGUGAGUAGUCAAUUUUCCCAAGUCUUGGUUUUUCACAGAAGUGUAUAAAGUUAUUUAACCAGAAUUAGGAACUUUGGCUAAUAAUUUUUUUUUUGGCAGGUUAUGCCAGUGAUGAAUGCGCAACCAACAAGGCUUCCAAUGAACUUCUUCUAAUAAGACAGAAACCGAACGGUAUCGCUGGGAUCUCUGGUAGAGAGGAAGUUUUCUCGAAUAAGCUGAAAGUCUAUAGAGAAUUGAAUGCUGAAGCCUUGUUUGAGAAGUUAACACUGGCUACGUGCAUCAUUGGAAUGGUUUAAGUAGACUUCUCAAAUGUUUAAUGGUAAUUUUUUGGCAAGCUCAGUGAGGGAAUCUUCUCAUAAUAGAUAGCAAUUAUUGUAUAUCCAAUAAAAUAAAAUAAAAAUUCAAGUUACGUUUUUAAUACAUCUCGCGAUAUUUUUUGAAAUAAAUAUUGUGCACGUGCUUGAACUCAAGUCUUGUUGAAUGAAUAAUAACUUAUAAAAAGGAUUGAUUCGGUGGUGGAUAUUGCAAGCAAGACGUACCUUGCAGUGGUAUAUAAAUCUUCAUUGCGACUGGGUGAUUUUGAGAAAAACUGGAAUUGCUGGAUUUGGAAUAAACUCUGAAUGGAAUUUUAAGAAAUAGCUAGACUGGUCCAGUACAUAGUUUUAAUAUUGGAAAUUAUGUAUUAAUGGUAAAUUUCUAAGCAUCAAGAAAGCAUAACUGUAAAACCGUGCAGGAAGAGAUUUACAGGCUUCGGUAAUUUGGUACGGUAAAGGUAAACCGGCAAAUAUAAGUCCGCUUAAAAGGUUCGUAUUAAGUUUUAAGUGGCUGGCAAGAUAUCAAGUCUUUAACAAGAAGCAUUAAAGAUAAGUACGAACUAUUACACUGUAGCGGGGUACUUUAUCUAGCAUAGUCUACUCAUUACUUUGCCAAAUACUGCUUGUUGAUGUUGCCACCACAUGUGCCCUAGACCACUUAAGAUAUUGGCUUCCGGUUAUCUUUACAUAUUGAUUUUUUAAGCUACUAAAAGGAAUAGAAUAACCCUGGAUGCAUUUAUCCUUGUAGAUUAAGACUAACGUCAGCUGGACAUCAUUCAAGAUAUAGCUUGACCUAAGCAACGCGAGAAAAUAACGAAGGCUAGCUUGAAGCUAACUAAAUGGCACUUGAAUGCUGAAGAGGCAUCCCUCCUGUCACAAGACACUUGAUUAGGUUUACCUAUAGAUGAAAAUUAACCUGGAACGCGUGAUUCCUCGUACAUACUAAGACUAAAUGUAUUUAGGUAUACCAUCUGGCAGA